UGAUGUCCAAUAUUUAAGACAAAAUAAAUAUUUUAGCAUUGGUACACGAAUCGUGUACCAUAAUGCGUUUCAGCCCCAGUUCUAGCAAGAGACUAGAGGAACGAGGCUAGACAUAUUGCACCAAACCAAACGGCUUAUGUAGACUGGAAUAACCAGACGCUAGGAAUUUGCACUCGAUUGAGACUGCCGGCUUAUUUCUCGGAACAUAACCGAUUUGAAAUUAUAGUAAAAACGGAAACGAUUGAAUAUAAAAACAUCAUUUGGUGUGGAGGAUCAAAGACACUGAUCAUGUUGAUGAAACAAGCGUCAAUGAAUUCCUGUAUAGCAAAUAUUUUCAGACUUCUAGGACAAUGGAUUUCAACAUUUUCUGUAUUAUUUUACAUCUUAAAAUUACCUGAUAUUAUAAAUGCUGAGAUUCUUGCUAUUCAUGUCGUCUUGAAUAAAACAUGUGAUGAUUGGGCAAGUCUAAACUGGAACCAGAAACCACAAUUUUUAAGUGAAACAUCUCGAUGUCAGUUGACAACGGUUGCAUUAAAAACAAACUCAACAGAUAUUCAGUCAAUUUAUCCAAGAGAUUAUCAGGAGUUAAAAUUAACAAAGUUAAAAGAAAAUUCACCGUAUAUGUUUUAUAUGCUGUGUGAUAGAGUUUAUAUAUCAAAUAAUGUUUCCUUUGUCACAGGUUCUAAGUGUUCCACACAUGAAGAUGAUUCUACUCCAUAUUUUGUAAAAGAACCAGAAAUGGCCGUAGAAAUACCAGUAUCAUUAUCAGAUAUAGUUCUCGGAACUGUUUUUGCACUAGUAGGACUUAUAAUCAUUUGUGUCUUUCUUUAUCAUUUUUGGAAAAGUUAUGUUCGUAGACAAAGAAUUAAUAGAAUUUUCAGGGAAGUGGAAACCGAUCCGUUUACAUAUUUACAAAAUCAUAUGGAAGAACAAAGUGCCGUUAAUCUAUAACAACACAGGCGUGAUGGAAAUGUAGAUCUGUAUAUAUUACUUCAUCCCAAUCAUUUUUAAUAAACAAAACAAUUUACGAAAUCCAAAUGAGAAACCACUUCAGAGCAUGUCUUCCUGAUUGUUGAUUGAAGGACAUUACAUACAUGCACUUAAUUUUUAUAUGACCACAUUUGUCGUACAUUGACAUCACCCAUGUCCAUAUGUCCGUCCCAAAGCAAUUGUGGAUGCUGUCGAAGAGAAACUUCUCAUCUAAUUGACUGUGUUUAUGUUCAUGAGGUGAAUAUUUGGUCCCUUGAUCACUUAUGUUCCUAAUAGUAAGUGCAGGGGACUGCACCACACAUAAUUACACAAAACAAAUGUACGGACAAGACACAAUAUGCAGAAAUCACAAACAAACGUACAUAUCAGAUAAAGUGAAUAGAUCCAGGGGCUAGCCGAAUAGAUCCCGGGCCUGUAGUGAUACAGACUUCACUCAAAUUUGAAAACAAUCAGGGAUGUAACUGUUACACGGAGAAACCAUUGUGUAAUAGCAGCAUGAGUCAUGAUCUGCUAUAUUUUACAUGAAAUAUGAAUGUAAGCACAUUGAAGUAAAAAUUACCUGUACACAAGUAAACAUAUCGGUGAAAUGUAUAAAAAACGAGGUACUACAGGUAAUCUAAAACUAAAUGCUCUAUGUUAUUUGUUAAGUGAGAAACAUUUUAAGUGUUCAAAAGAAUUGAGGUAUAUUGACUAUAAAGUUAGGGCAUAUGUUCCAUUUACCAGAAAAACAGAGGAGAUGGAGAAGUAUCUCGAUUUAUUAAUUAACGGUUCACGAUUGUUUAAGUUAGAGCUAGGAAGAACUGAAACCUAUCAAAUUUUAAUUAUUUCUGAUGUCAAUGAUUAACUAAUGGAUUGUUGCCCUUGAUAAGCUUUUAGUGUCUUGUAAGAGCCCCCACUACUAACAAAAGAAUAAAAAUGUGAUUACCUUUAUGGACUGCUCAGACGACUUAGCUGCUGACGGUGUAUGUUUCAUUGGCUGCCAACCUAUCUUUUAAAGUGAAACAUAUCGACAUUAGGUUAUUCUUUGUAUUCUUAAUAACCUUUAUCAAAUCACCUUAAUUGAUAAAAUGUAUGUAUAUAUGAAUACAUGUAGAUGGGGUUUAACAUCUGCUCAACACAAAUUAAAUCAUUUUGUGACUAACAAUUACAUUUUAUAUCAUCAUUUGCUUGCGUGCUGGGGUCUUUUAGAGUGGAAGCAUAAUGGAGGACCCACAGAAAACCCAUGACGUAAGGCUCAUGACAAACCUUCCCAUGGUACUGUUAAACAUGUAGGUAUCACAUGAACCUAUGUUCCAUACUGAUCAGCAGUGAAUAUUCGCUAUCCCACUACAAUCACUGAGAGGGAAGUAUUGGGAAAAUAUAUUAAGGUGUUUGAAGUAUAUCUGUAAAAAAUAAUUCCUAUUUAGUGUAAAUGGAUAUAUAAAAUGAGUAAAAGUUCAUCCAGAUUUUCCGGCGUGGUUCCCCCUUGUCAGUGAUGCAGGACGGAAGGGCUGACAAGGACAGCUGUCUAGUCCUUCGGAUGAGAUGAAAAACCAAGGUCCCGUGUAUACAUUAGAAUGCACAUAAAAGAUCCCUUGGCAGUUGGAAUUCGAUAUAAGAGUAGGCGAUAGUGCCACUGCCCGGGCAAAAUUUCCCUCAUCGCACACUGUAUGGCGUAUGCCCGUCUUCAUUAGCCCAGCAUAGGAGCAGAACAGUAGGACGUUAAACACCAUUUCAUUUCAUUUCUCAGAUACCUGUAGUAUCAUACAAUUCCUAGUAAAGCCCACUUAUUAAUACAACAUGGUAAUUAACAUCAUAAUUUAUGGAAUUCCAUACCAUUAAGUCUAAAAUGUGCCCCCUUCACUGGAAUCAUUCAAAUCGAGAUUAAAGACUCAUCUGUUUGAAUGUGAAUACAGUUGUAUUUGACUGAAUAUACUGUUGUGUAAAUGGUGAAAGAUACACAGUGUACAUAGUGUUUGGCGCUUUGAGCAUGCAUACGUGUAUGGAAAUUUGCACAUUAUAAAUAUACACUAUUAUUAUUAUUAUCUGUCUCUAUUGGGUGAUCUAACACAUGAACUUUGGAUCAUAAGGUCUGUCAUUGAGUCAAGUCGCAGGUUUUUGAUCCCAAGGUUGUCUGUGACAAGUGUAGGGUUACCUGUCCAACCUCGUGUUUUUUCUGUUGGUUCUCUGGUUUUCUCCCACUGCUAAAGACCCCUACACACAAGUAAAUUAUUGAAAUAAAAUUGAACCAUGUUAGUCCCAAAUUAGUGUUUACUGGACAUUGAACCAAAUUUAUCUCUCUCUUGUCUUGGUUACCUCGUGUUUAAGUUACAUAAUAUAUAUUUCUAUAUUAUACUGAUAUAUGUAAUAGAAAGUGUGUUCAUGAUUUCUGUCUGUAAUAUUUCAAAUUUUAUUCUUUUCACCCCCUUAAGCCCUAAAGAUGGUUGUUUUAAAACCAGAAAUAAUGUUUAUUUAGGAGGCUAAAGAACAUUUUUUAGGUAGCCUCACCCCAUAAAACCACAAAAGUUUUAUAAUGGGCUACAUUUUAGUUAAAAUAAGACAAACAAUAGAGUAAAUUCUUAACCUAAGUCUGAGAAUGUUUUGUGAAACCGACACCUGAUUAUCUGGGGCCUGUUUCACGAAAUUUUAACUAAGAUAAAAUCCAGAUUUUAGUAAUUUGAUUGGGUAAUAUUAGAUUGAUUUUAGUGCUUAGCCAAUCAAAAUUGAAGUAUCUACAAAAAUUUGGAUUUUAUCUUUAGUUAAGAUUUCGAGAAACAGGGCCCAGUUACUGUAUUAAACAUAUUUAAAGAGUAUUUAUCAUAUUUUACUUGCCAGUUUGUUAAAUAUGUCACCAAGCUUGUUUGAUAGAUGUAUAUUUUGUAUGUGCUAUUUUUGCGUUGAUUAAAGUAUGGCUUCUUAAA